rnacentral:tRNA from 1 species
GCCUGUUUAGCUCAGUUGGUAGAGCGCCGUCUCGAUAAGGCGGAUGUCGUUCGUUCAAACCGAACAACAGUCACCA